rnacentral:lncRNA from 1 species
AAGGAGAAGGGGAACGCUCUCAAUUUAAUAUGUUCCUCAUAUACCCCUAACGGCUUUAUACUUGAACACACUGCAUGGAACUCCUUAAGAUGCUUAUAUGGGUUCUCGCUCUCCAAACCUCUGAACUUAGGUAGUAGGUAAAUCAUGCCAAAUUUUAGCUUAAAAACAACAUCCAGAUUUGGGCAAGUGAUGUACAGAGGUUGUUGAUUCGUAGGUGGCACAACUAGAUCUCUUAAAGCAUGCUUAUGUGCCAUUUGUUCUGUUUCUUCUACACUGCCUUCUUCAAAGCCCAUGUCCUGUUGACACAUUUUUCUUCUUAGCAUGGUUUAUUUUCUCAAACC